rnacentral:sRNA from 1 species
GAAAAGAAGAAGCACCCGCUUCUCACCUGGUUGACGCAAUACAGCAGUUGGCAGGUUUUACGUGAACUUUUUGUUUAUUACUUAUGUUUCGUAAAGUGUGGGUGUGUGCAUCCACACUUUUUUAUUU